rnacentral:rRNA from 1 species
GACGAACCGUGCGAACGUUAUUCGGAAUCAUUGGGCUUAAAGCGCGUGUAGGCGGAUUCGUGCGUCUGUCGUUGAAAUCCCCCGGCUCAACCGGGGAAGUGGCGCGGAUACGACGAGUCUCGAGGGACGUAGGGGGAUCUGGAACUUCCGGUGGAGCGGUGAAAUGCGUUGAGAUCGGAAGGAACGCCCGUGGCGAAAGCGAGAUCCUGGACGUCUACUGACGCUGAGACGCGAAAGCUAGGGGAGCGAACGGG